GACGAACGCUGGCGGCGCGCCUAAUACAUGCAAGUCGUACGGGCACCCUUCGGGUGGUCAGUGGCGGACGGGUGAGUAACACGUGGGUGACCUGCCCUCGCAGUGGGGAAGUAACUCUGGGAAACCGAGAGCUAAUACCGCAUAUGCUUAGUGCAUCAUAGCAUUAAGUAAAGAAGAAAUACGCUGCAGGAGGGGCCUGCGCCGGAUUAGCUAGUCGGUGGGGUAAGUGGCCUACCGAGGCGACGAUCCGUAGCUGGUCUGAGAGGACGACCAGCCACACUGGGACUGAGACACGGCCCAGACU
rnacentral:rRNA from 1 species